GUAGUAGCAAAUACUCUGGCGAGGACCCGGAGGACUGACGCGGAGAAGGGUUUCGUGUGAACAGCCGUUGCACACGAGUCAGUCGAUCCUAAGCCCUAGGCGAAAGCCGAAGCGAGUGCGCCAGCGGCCCGUCGGGCGAAAGGGAAUCCGGUCCCCAUUCCGGAACCCGGCAGCGGAACCGACACGUCGGGCCCCCGGCUACGGCCGGAAGCUCGUCGGGGUAACCCAAACAGACCCGGAGAAGCCGUCGGGAGGUCGGGGAAGAGUUUUCUUUUCUGUUUGAGCGCUCGGGCUCCCUGGAAUCGCUUCGCGCGGAGAGAGGGAGUGGAGCGCGUAGAGCACCGCAGUUGCGGCGGUGUCCCGACAUGCCCCUCGGACCGUGAAAAUCCGGGAGCGGGCCACGUGGAGGGUCGCGCCGGUUCGUACCCAUAUCCGCAGCAGGUCUCCGAGGUGAAGAGCCUCUAGUCGAUAGAUGAAUGUAGGUAAGGGAAGUCGGCAAAUUCGAUCCGUAACUUCGGAAUAAGGAU
rnacentral:rRNA from 1 species